rnacentral:tRNA from 1 species
GAAGUCAAAGCUCAGUGGUAGAGCACUUGCCUAGCAUGUAUGAGGCACUGGGUUCAAUCUCAGCACUGCA